rnacentral:rRNA from 1 species
UACGGAGGGGGCGAGCGUUAUUCGGAAUUAUUGGGCGUAAAGGGCGCGUAGGCGGCUUGAUGUGUCAAAGGUGAAAUCCCUCGGCUCAACUGAGGAACUGCCUUUGAAACUGUCUGGCUUGAGGCCGGGAGAGGGUAGCGGAAUUCCCAGUGUAGCGGUGAAAUGCGUAGAUACUGGGAGGAACACCGGUGGCGAAGGCGGUUCUCUGGGCCUGACCUGACGCUGAGGAGCGAAAGCGUGGGGAGCGAACAGG